ACCCCCCAGCAAUGAGCGAAGAGACACCUUGGUGGUGGUAGCGUUCUUAUAUCAGCUAGGGACAGAACAGGUGGCAGGCCUUUGUUCAUCUUAGCUUGAUGCCUGGCUUGGUGGCCAAAGCUGUCUUAUGUCUGAGACGCAUAA